rnacentral:sRNA from 1 species
CUAUGAAUGUAAAAUUUUUAUAACAAAUAAAAACUUUCAACAACGGAUCUCUUGGCUCUCGCAUCGAUGAAGAACGCAGCGAAAUGCGAUACGUAAUGUGAAUUGCAGAAUUCAGUGAAUCAUCGAAUCUUUGAACGCAUCUUGCGCUCUCUGGUAUUCCGGAGAGCAUGUCUGUUUGAGUGUCAUGAAUUCUUCAACCCAAUCUUUUCUUGUAAUCGAUUGGUGUUUGGAUUUUGAGCGCUGCUGGCUUCGGCCUAGCUCGUUCGUAAUACAUUAGCAUCCCUAAUACAAGUUUGGAUUGACUUGGCGUAAUAGACUAUUCGCUAAGGAUUCGGUGGAAACAUCGAGCCAACUUCAUUAAGGAAGCUCCUAAUUUAAAAGUCUACCUUUUGAUUAGAUCUCAAAUCAGGCAGGAUUACCCGCUGAACUUAAGCAUAUCAAUAAGCGGAGGA